GGGUCUGUCCACCGGUCGGGCUUUUUCGGUACGCACUGUUGCGAUGGAUUCCUACCUUCUGAAUAACCGAUUUUCCAUUAAUUUAGUGGGUCGGGGAAGCAGGACUGUUACCUUGAAAAAAUUAGAGUGCUCAAAGCAGGCUAGUGCCUGAAUACAUUAGCAUGGAAUAAUAAAAUAGGACGGCAUGGUUCUAUUUUGUUGGUUUCUAGGAUCACCGUA
rnacentral:rRNA from 1 species